rfam:Homo sapiens chromosome 1, GRCh38 reference primary assembly.
GCUGGGCGUGGUGGCAUGUGCCUGUAAUCCCAGCUACUUGGGAGGCUGAGGCAGGAGAAUCGCUUGAACCCGGGAGGCGGAGGCUGCAGUGAGCCGAGAUUGUGCCACUGCACUCUCCAGCCUGGGUGACAGAGCGAGACUCAGUCUCAA